GACGAACGCUGGCGGCGUGCUUAACACAUGCAAGUCGAACGCUGAAGCUUGGUGCUUGCACUGGGUGGAUGAGUGGCGAACGGGUGAGUAAUACGUGAGUAACCUGCCCUUGACUCUGGGAUAAGCCUGGGAAACUGGGUCUAAUACUGGAUAUGACAUGCCACUGCAUGGUGGUGUGUGGAAAGGGUUUUACUGGUUUUGGAUGGGCUCACGGCCUAUCAGCUUGUUGGUGGGGUAACGGCCUACCAAGGCGACGACGGGAAGCCGGCCUGAGAGGGUGACCGGCCACACUGGGACUGAGACACGGCCCAGACUCCUACGGGAGGCAGCAGUGGGGAAUAUUGCACAAUGGGCGGAAGCCUGAUGCAGCGACGCCGCGUGAGGGAUGACGGCCUUCGGGUUGUAAACCUCUUUCAGCACGGAAGAAGCGAGAGUGACGGUACGUGCAGAAGAAGCGCCGGCUAACUACGUG
rnacentral:rRNA from 1 species